AACGCUAGCUACAGGCUUAACACAUGCAAGUCGAGGGGCAUCAGGAAGAAAGCUUGCUUUCUUUGCUGGCGACCGGCGCACGGGUGAGUAACACGUAUCCAACCUGCCCUUUACUCGGGGAUAGCCUUUCGAAAGAAAGAUUAAUACCCGAUAGUAUAAUGAUUCCGCAUGGUUUCAUUAUUAAAGGAUUCCGGUAAAGGAUGGGGAUGCGUUCCAUUAGGUUGUUGGUGAGGUAACGGCCCACCAAGCCUUCGAUGGAUAGGGGUUCUGAGAGGAAGGUCCCCCACAUUGGAACUGAGACACGGUCCAAACUCCUACGGGAGGCAGCAGUGAGGAAUAUUGGUCAAUGGGCGAUGGCCUGAACCAGCCAAGUAGCGUGAAGGAUGACUGCCCUAUGGGUUGUAAACUUCUUUUAUAUUAGAAUAAAGUGCAGUAUGUAUACUGUUUUGUAUGUAUAAUAUGAAUAAGGAUCGGCUAACUCCGUGCCAGCAGCCGCGGUAAUACGGAGGAUCCGAGCGUUAUCCGGAUUUAUUGGGUUUAAAGGGAGCGUAGGUGGACUGGUAAGUCAGUUGUGAAAGUUUGCGGCUCAACCGUAAAAUUGCAGUUGAUACUGUCAGUCUUGAGUACAGUAGAGGUGGGCGGAAUUCGUGGUGUAGCGGUGAAAUGCUUAGAUAUCACGAAGAACUCCGAUUG
rnacentral:rRNA from 1 species